rnacentral:rRNA from 1 species
UGAAGCUUGGGGUGCUCGAAGAGAACCUGGACACAGGUGCUGCAUGGCUGUCGUCAGCUCGUGUCGUGAGAUGUUGGGUUAAGUCCCGCAACGAGCGCAACCCUUGUCAUUAGUUGCUACAUUUAGUUGGGCACUCUAAUGAGACUGCCGGUGACAAACCGGAGGAAGGUGGGGAUGACGUCAAGUCCUCAUGGCCCUUAUGGGUAGGGCUUCACACGUCAUACAAUGGUCGGUACAGAGGGCAGCAAAGCCGCGAGGUGGAGCCAAUCUCACAAAGCCGAUCGUAGUCCGGAUUGGAGUCUGCA